rnacentral:rRNA from 1 species
UACGUAGGGUGCGAGCGUUGUCCGGAAUUAUUGGGCGUAAAGGGCUCGUAGGCGGUUUGUCGCGUCGGGAGUGAAAACUCAGGGCUUAACCCUGAGCCUGCUCCCGAUACGGGCAGACUAGAGGUAUGCAGGGGGGAACGGAAUUCCUGGUGUAGCGGUGAAAUGCGCAGAUAUCAGGAGGAACACCGGUGGCGAAGGCGGUUCUCUGGGCAUUACCUGACGCUGAGGAGCGAAAGUGUGGGGAGCGAACAGG